AAGAAAGCAUACACACGCACACGUGACACGUAACCACGACGGCAGGCCGUUCACCUUUUAUUAUCAGCUUCAUCCUCUAGAGGCCGCCAAGGCACAGCCGCGUUCAGGUGUCCCGCCCGCGUCGGAAGAAAGAGAGCUUGCUCCCGUCGGGCAGUCGCGGCUCGCGAGUCGGAGGAGAUGGAGGAUGACGGCGGCGGGAGGAAGCAGGACACGACGGCGGCGGCGGCGUCCAAAGCGCAGCGAGAGGCCGCGGCGGCCGGCGUCUCCGUGCACGAGUGGCUGCAGCACGUGAAGGCCUCCUUCCUCGGCCUGGUGGGCAAGUUGACGGCGAGGAGCGAGCAGGAGGCGGCGGAGGCGGACAUGCGCGCGGCCAAGGCGCAGGUGGAGGCGACCGACGAGGCGGAGGCCAAGAAGAAGCGGCUCGCAGAUGGAUGAUGACCCAUCCAUGGCCGAUACUGUAGAUUCAGCUGGAAACUACUGCGUGUUGUACAUACAACCUACCUGGGGGUAGCUCAACCCUAGAGCUAGGCCUAGAGCUAGGCCUGGGCAAUCGGUUUUUUUGGUUCGGUUUUUUCAGUGUUGUAUACGGUUUUUCGGUUCGGAGUUCGGUUUAAACUGAACAUCCGAAAUCUAUCUCAGUCAAGUAGUCAACAGAGCUACAUGUAUGGCUGUUCGGUUUAUUGCCACAGCCCACAGCUUAUAGUCGAAGCCAUAAUGUCUAACUGAACAAAUAUAUUAUUCAGAAA